rnacentral:tRNA from 1 species
UUAGGUCAACUGAAACCUGCCAAGACCCCCCGCCUGUCACGCGGGAGACCGGGGUUCGAUUCCCCGA